rnacentral:rRNA from 1 species
CGGGCUAUACCGCAGAAGCCCUCCGGGGGAAAGAUUUAUCGCCUAUGGAUGAGCCCGCGUUGGAUUAGCUAGUUGGUGGGGUAAUGGCCCCCCAGGGGGACUAUCCAUAACUGGACUGAAAGGAUGAUCAGCCACACUGGGACUGAGACACGGCCCAGACUCCUACGGGAGGCAGCAAUGAGGAAUAUUGGACAAUGGGCGCAAGCCUGAUCCAGCCAUGCCGCGUGAGUGAUGAAGGCCCUAGGGUUGUAAAGCUCUUUCAGUAGGGAAGAUAAUGACGGUACCUACAGAAGAAGCCCCGGCUAACUUCGUGCCAGCAGCCGCGGUAAUACGAAGGGGGCUAGCGUUGUUCGGAAUUACUGGGCGUAAAGCGCGCGUAGGCGGAUUGUUAAGUCAGGGGUGAAAUCCCGAGGCUCAACCUCGGAACUGCCUUUGAUACU